GGGACAUGUGGGAGAAGACCCAGCCCGGGGAUCCGCAGCCAAACAGAAUAAUUCGGAGUGGCACCCGGACCCCAGGGAUGGCACAACAGGACCGAUAACACCCACUCUGCAGGUUGGAAGCAAGCAUUAGAUGAGACGAAGCACUAGAGCAGGCCGGCCAGCGAGCUGUUAACAGUGUCAUUUCUAAGAAGUGAGAUCCUGAGACUCAGAAAGAGUGACUCGCCCAAGGUCAUCCUGCAGCCUAUAAAGCACCAGGACUUCAGGCCAGGUCAAAGUGACCCCCAAGUCUGCCACACCCUUCCCCCUGGACCAAACUCGCUCAGAGGGCAAAGUGGGGAAUAAGGCAAAGAGAACAC